AGAGUUUGAUCCUGGCUCAGACGAACGCUGGCGGCGUGCUUUACACAUGCAAGUCGAACGAUGAAGUUCCUUCGGGAAUGGAUUAGUGGCGAACGGGUGAGGAACACGUGAGAAAUCUGCCCUUCAUUUUGGGAUAACUCCGGGAAACCGGGGCUAAUACCAAAUACUCCAUCCCGGUGGCAUCACUGGGCUGGGAAAGAAUUUCGAUGAAGGUUGAUCUCGCGGCCUAUCAGCUAGUUGGUGAGGUAAUGGCUCACCAAGGCAACGACGGGUAGCCGGCCUGAGAGGGCGACCGGCCACACUGGGACUGAGACACGGCCCAGACUCCUACGGGAGGCAGCAGUGGGGAAUAUUGGGCAAUGGGCGCAAGCCUGACCCAGCGACGCCGCGUGAGGGAUGAAGGUCUUCGGAUUGUAAACCUCUUUCAGUGGGGAAGAAGCGAAAGUGACGGUACCCAAAGAAGAAGCACCGGCUAACUAUGUGCCAGCAGCCGCGGUAAUACAUAGGGUGCAAGCGUUGUCCGGAAUUAUUGGGCGUAAAGAGCUCGUAGGUGGUUUAUCACGUCGGAUGUGAAAUUCUGAGGCUCAACCUCGGACCUGCAUUCGAUACGGGCAAACUAGAGUGUGGUAGGGGAGACUGGAAUUCCUGGUGUAGCGGUGGAAUGCGCAGAUAUCAGGAGGAACACCAAUGGCGAAGGCAGGUCUCUGGGCCAUUACUGACACUGAGGAGCGAAAGCGCGGGGAGCGAACAGGAUUAGAUACCCUGGUAGUCCGCGCCGUAAACGGUGGGCACUAGUUGUGGGAACCUUCCACGGUUUCCGCGACGCAGCUAACGCAUUAAGUGCCCCGCCUGGGGAGUACGAUCGCA
rnacentral:rRNA from 1 species